ensembl:lncRNA
CGGCGGCGCCCGGGGAGGCGAGGGGCCGCCCGGCGCCGUGAGGCGGGAGCCGCCGCCGCCAUCUUAGCGGCGCGGCGCGGUGCGGGGCAGCGUUGUUCCGCUGCCGCCCCCCCGGCGCUUUCGGAGGGGGCAGCACAGCGGUAGUAAAGCUCCGCGGUCUUUUGUCUCCUGCCGCAGGUCUCUGGGAGCGCUGAGGAAACGGUGCAGAGACAAGUUUUUUCGUUCGUCUCUAGUUUAGUGUUUUAAAGUCGGACGUAGUAGUGCGUGUACGGCUGCGUGACCGUAUAACGGUCCGCAAAAACGCUUUAUUUUUGAUUCCGGAUUGCUUGUUGUAGCUAAGCCCUUUUGCCCUGUUCAUCGGAUUUGGACUUUUCUGCCCCUGCCUACCUCACUGGAGUACCUGAUGGAUGGCUUAGUGUCGCACACCGACCCCCUCCUGAGGGGCCUCCUGAGCGUCCCCUCAGGGCUUGAUCCURCCUGAGUUCUUUAACCGCAGAAAGACUGCAGACGAGCACUUGGGUUGCCAAACUAUGGCCCUUGGAGAACCCAGGUGUGACACACGGGAUGGAUAAUCUUUUGGCUCCGUUCCCGCGUGGUGGAGUGUGAUCAGUUCAGGCUGAUCAUCUCAGGCCGAUGUACAAAAAGUUGCUGCUUUCUGGCUUGCCUUUUUGCUUUGAAACGGGAGGUGACCUGAAGCAUAUCGUCAUGAUAUUCGUGGCAUUCCACCUGAAGGUACAAAGUGCUGCAAUCUUCAGCUCUUUUGCGUUCAGACAYGGAGGUUUCAAGUCAUUUCCCUCUCCAGUGCAAGUGUUUGGAGCACCGGCUGAAGAUCAGGUGAUUGCUAGAAUGCUUACUCCUAUACAUGCUGGUUCUUUCUAUGUGCAGCACAAAAAUGAACUGUCUUGUGGAAAGAGAAAUGCCAGGGAUUGGUAG